rnacentral:rRNA from 1 species
GUGGGGAAUCUUGCGCAAUGGGCGAAAGCCUGACGCAGCCAUGCCGCGUGAAUGAUGAAGGUCUUAGGAUUGUAAAAUUCUUUCACCGGGGACGAUAAUGACUGUAGCCGGAGAAGAAGCCCCGGCUAACUUCGUGCCAGCAGCCGCGGUAAUACGAAGGGGGCUAGCGUUGCUCGGAUUUACUGGGCGUAAAGGGCGCGUAGGCGGACAUUUAAGUCAGGGGUGAAAUCCCGGGGCUCAACCUCGGAACUGCCUUUGAUACUGGGUGUCUUGAGUAUGAGAGAGGUGUGUGGAACUCCGAGUGUAGAGGUGAAAUUCGUAGAUAUUCGGAAGAACACCAGUGGCGAAGGCGACACACUGGCUCAUUACUGACGCUGAGGCGCGAAAGCGUGGGGAGCAAACAGGAUUAGAAACCCCAGUAGUCC